CGGCCUCCUCUUCUAUGCCUCUCGGCCUCUCGCCUUCUACACGGCCGCCCGCCACACGCCGCCUGCCCACCACUUGCCCCCCACCGCUUCGAGGGCUAGCCUCCCCGCAUCCCCCUUCGUUCCCGUCCCCGGUUGGGCCGCACGAGUGCCGCCACCACACCAUCAGGGGACACCGCGGGAGUGCAGCCAUCGCACCGCCAGGGUACGCCGCGCGUGCCGGUGAUGCGUGAGCCGCCGCUGGUGCUGCGCCGAUUGCCGCUUUCGACGAUGCAGGAGCCACUCAAUCCGACGAGGACGCGAGGCGCCUUCCGCAUCUGAAACUUCCGUAAUGUGCUCCUCCACUCCGCUUCUAACAUGUCGUUCGUCCCUGGCUCCCAGUGAUAUCCCUGCUCGAGGAACUCCUCUGCCUCAUCAGAUGUAGAGUUAAGAGUUCUUCCAUCUGCCCUCACCUCGCGACCUCUCCCCACGACCUACCACGCUCCCCCUGGAUUGGAUCCAUCAUCCAUGUGCUUAUUGGUGAUUCCAGGCUGUUGUGUGUGUAUUUGGUGAUGUCUUGUUACCCUUUGGGGGACAACUUUUUAGUUUCAGAAGAAUUGGGGUGCCGCUGAGUAGCAGGAAACUGCAAUUCGAGAAAUAUUACCGUGGUUGGGGCGCUUCUAAUGGUGGUUACAACAGCGAGGUUCAGAUCGACUGCCUAAGCUUACCUUCGUGCGAUCUAUCAAUUUUUUUCUCUAUAGAUGAUGCCUAUAUUUGUAAUCCCCAUAGACUUCCUUUUGCAAAAUGUUUGUAUCGUUCAUUUAUGUUAGUUCAUCCUGUACCUGCUGUAAUUUGUUACUGAGUUGAAGGGAUUGCAAUGUACAAAAUGAUACUUUUGCCAAGCAUCUAGGAGAGAAUCAACUUGUAUGAAAUUUUUAGCAUUUACUUCUGGAGAAAAUUUUAGUUAGCAAGUGCGGGUAAAUAUGAUGUGAUAGGAUAGGCCUCCUGCCACGCAGCCUCUUUUGCAGAGAAAAUGACAGUGUGAUUAGUAAUGAAUGGUACAAGGUUCCGAAAUUGACAUGAUAUUGUGUUUAAAUUUUCUUUACUUGAUCAUGUUACUUAUGGGCGAUUGCCAUAUUUUGACUUAGGUUCCUGAUUUCCUCACUUCUCCAGAGGCGAAGGCUAUUGUUCAUGCGCCAAUGUGAAGGUACCACUGCUUUUCAAUGCAAAUGUGAAGGCUUUCAAACCUUUUUGCAUGGUUUAUUUAAGUUUUGUGUGCUCAAACAAAUUACAUUCAGUGAAGGAAGAUCUUAAUGAGGAGUCGAACGUGCAGCCCAUCAACAUCAUUGUGACAAACUCUGAGCCUGGCGCUACCAUCAACAACCAAAUUUCAUGCUUUUGGAGUUGAGAGAUGAUUUCCUGGUGGAUUUGGCGGUGGUGAUGCUAUAGGUUCAACGGUGUGGGUGCUAGAAGAAGUGCAACUCUUAUCAACAGAGAAAGUCUACUCUUGACAAAGGCCAUGGUUGGUAGCUGGAUCCAAAACGCAAAGAAUAAAGGUUUAUUUUCCUGGAUCUCCUAUGUCGCAGCUGAUACUAUUGUGUUAUGUUGAAGUUUUAUUUUCACUGCUUCCCUUCAUCAUGUGUGAGCUGAGGAUUUUUGAUUGGGAGGGGGCCAGUGUUUGAUUAAUUUAUAGAAUGGUCAAACAUUUCAAGGAUGUCUGUUCCAAUUAAUUUCUAGAAUGCUCUGAGAGACAUAGAUGGAAAUUGCAAUUCUUUACUGUCAUUGUACAUUAUGUAGAUAUAUAUAUUUCACAAAUCUCUGGUCGAAUGUUUGAUCAGGGUUGAGACUCCAUCUCCUUUUGUUUUCUCAUCUAACAUUUUUGCUUUUAAAACACAGAAACUUGGCAAGAAUAAUUGAGAUGCACAUCCGAUUGUGUCAGCGGAUUGUUCCCUGAUUAUAUGGACCUAACGGAUUCAUCUGUAAUAAUGAUGCGGAAAGUAGUCAUACUCAGGAACCUAAAAGAAAAGUAGUCUCUUCCUGAACCGUUCAUGCAGUCAUGGAUGAUGCUAUGAUGCAUGUUCCUGCUUGAUAUAAAUCAGUUUGCAUGCUCUUUUAUUUUUAUAUACGGCCCUGUAUUGUAGUAGUACAAGUAUGUCUUAAUCCUUUUGUUUUAUUUAUCAAUUUUUUAUCCAGGGAUACAA